GACGAACGCUGGCGGCGUGCUUAACACAUGCAAGUCGAACGAAGUGGCGAACGGGUGAGUAAUACGUGAGUAACCUGCCCUCCUUUUUGGGAUAAGCCUUGGAAACGGGGUCUAAUACCGAAUAGGGGGGGUUGGGCUCGUGGCCUCUCAGCUUGUUGGUGGGGGGAUGGCCUACCAAGGCGGUGACGGGUAGCCGGCCUGAGAGGGUGACCGGCCACAUUGGGACUGAGAUACGGCCCAGACUCCUACGGGAGGCAGCAGUGGGGGAUAUUGCACAAUGGGCGAAAGCUUGAUGCAGCGACGCCGCGUGGGGGAUGAAGGCUUUCGGGUUGUAAAAAUCUUUCAGUACCAUAGGAAUAAGGACCGGCUAAUUACGUGCCAGCCGCCGCGGUAAUUC
rnacentral:rRNA from 1 species